AGAGUUUGAUCAUGGCUCAGAUUGAACGCUGGCGGCAGGCCUAACACAUGCAAGUCGAACGGUAACAGGAAACAGCUUGCUGUUUCGCUGACGAGUGGCGGACGGGUGAGUAAUGUCUGGGAAACUGCCUGAUGGAGGGGGAUAACUACUGGAAACGGUAGCUAAUACCGCAUAACGUCGCAAGACCAAAGAGGGGGACCUUAGGGCCUCUUGCCAUCGGAUGUGCCCAGAUGGGAUUAGCUAGUAGGUGGGGUAAAGGCUCACCUAGGCGACGAUCCCUAGCUGGUCUGAGAGGAUGACCAGCCACACUGGAACUGAGACACGGUCCAGACUCCUACGGGAGGCAGCAGUGGGGAAUAUUGCACAAUGGGCGCAAGCCUGAUGCAGCCAUGCCGCGUGUAUGAAGAAGGCCUUCGGGUUGUAAAGUACUUUCAGCGGGGAGGAAGGGAGUAAAGUUAAUACCUUUGCUCAUUGACGUUACCCGCAGAAGAAGCACCGGCUAACUCCGUGCCAGCAGCCGCGGUAAUACGGAGGGUGCAAGCGUUAAUCGGAAUUACUGGGCGUAAAGCGCACGCAGGCGGUUUGUUAAGUCAGAUGUGAAAUCCCCGGGCUCAACCUGGGAACUGCAUCUGAUACUGGCAAGCUUGAGUCUCGUAGAGGGGGGUAGAAUUCCAGGUGUAGCGGUGAAAUGCGUAGAGAUCUGGAGGAAUACCGGUGGCGAAGGCGGCCCCCUGGACGAAGACUGACGCUCAGGUGCGAAAGCGUGGGGAGCAAACAGGAUUAGAUACCCUGGUAGUCCACGCCGUAAACGAUGUCGACUUGGAGGUUGUGCCCUUGAGGCGUGGCUUCCGGAGCUAACGCGUUAAGUCGACCGCCUGGGGAGUACGGCCGCAAGGUUAAAACUCAAAUGAAUUGACGGGGGCCCGCACAAGCGGUGGAGCAUGUGGUUUAAUUCGAUGCAACGCGAAGAACCUUACCUGGUCUUGACAUCCACGGAAGUUUUCAGAGAUGAGAAUGUGCCUUCGGGAACCGUGAGACAGGUGCUGCAUGGCUGUCGUCAGCUCGUGUUGUGAAAUGUUGGGUUAAGUCCCGCAACGAGCGCAACCCUUAUCCUUUGUUGCCAGCGGUCCGGCCGGGAACUCAAAGGAGACUGCCAGUGAUAAACUGGAGGAAGGUGGGGAUGACGUCAAGUCAUCAUGGCCCUUACGACCAGGGCUACACACGUGCUACAAUGGCGCAUACAAAGAGAAGCGACCUCGCGAGAGCAAGCGGACCUCAUAAAGUGCGUCGUAGUCCGGAUUGGAGUCUGCAACUCGACUCCAUGAAGUCGGAAUCGCUAGUAAUCGUGGAUCAGAAUGCCACGGUGAAUACGUUCCCGGGCCUUGUACACACCGCCCGUCACACCAUGGGAGUGGGUUGCAAAAGAAGUAGGUAGCUUAACCUUCGGGAGGGCGCUUACCACUUUGUGAUUCAUGACUGGGGUGAAGUCGUAACAAGGUAACCGUAGGGGAACCUGCGGUUGGAUCACCU
rnacentral:rRNA from 15 species